rnacentral:rRNA from 1 species
GAUGAACGCUGGCGGCGUGCCUAAUACAUGCAAGUCGAACGAGGUGCUUUUGUAGCAAUACGAGAGUAUCCUAGUGGCGAACGGGUGAGUAACGCGUUGGUGACCUACCCCAAAGUGUGGGAUAACAGUCCGAAAGGAUUGCUAAUACCGCAUGUGGUCAUUGGACUUAGAAACUGAUGACUAAAGGAGCAAUUCGCUUUGGGAGGGACCUGCGUCCCAUCAGCUAGUUGGUGAGGUAAUGGCUCACCAAGGCGACGACGGGUAGGGGACCUGAGAGGGUGGCCCCCCACAAUGGAACUGAAACACGGUCCAUACACCUACGGGUGGCAGCAGUAGGGAAUAUUGCUCAAUGGGCGAAAGCCUGAAGCAGCAACGCCGCGUGCGUGAUGAAGGUCUUCGGAUCGUAAAGCGCUUUUCUGGGAGAUGAGAAAGGACAGUAUCCCAGGAAUAAGUCUCGGCUAACUACGUGCCAGCAGCCGCAGUAACAC